rnacentral:rRNA from 1 species
GUGUCAGCAGCCGCGGUAAGACGAACCGUGCGAACGUUAUUCGGAAUCACUGGGCUUAAAGCGCGUGUAGGUGGGAGGGAACGUCCGUCGCUGAAAUCCCCCGGCUCAACCGGGGAACGGGCGCGGAUACGGCCUUCCUGGAGGGACGUAGGGGGACCUGGAACUUCCGGUGGAGCGGUGAAAUGCGUUGAGAUCGGAAGGAACGCCCGUGGCGAAAGCGAGGUCCUGGACGUCUACUGACACUGAGACGCGAAAGCCAGGGGAGCGAACGGGAUUAGAAACCCCCGUAGUCC